UGCGGGGUAGCUCAGACUGGCAGAGCAGGGGGUUCAUAAUCCUCAUGUCGCGGGUUCAAAUCCCGCCCCCGCUACCA
rnacentral:tRNA from 1 species